rnacentral:rRNA from 1 species
GACGAACGCUGGCGGCGUGCUUAACACAUGCAAGUCGAACGGAAAGGCCCUUCGGGGUACUCGAGUGGCGAACGGGUGAGUAACACGUGGGUGAUCUGCCCUGCACUUUGGGAUAAGCCUGGGAAACUGGGUCUAAUACCGAAUAGGACCACGCGCUUCAUGGUGUGUGGUGGAAAGCUUUUGCGGUGUGGGAUGGGCCCGCGGCCUAUCAGCUUGUUGGUGGGGUAAUGGCCUACCAAGGCGACGACGGGUAGCCGGCCUGAGAGGGUGACCGGCCACACUGGGACUGAGAUACGGCCCAGACUCCUACAGGAGGCAGCAGUGGGGAAUAUUGCACAAUGGGCGCAAGCCUGAUGCAGCGACGCCGCGUGAGGGAUGACGGCCUUCGGGUUGUAAACCUCUUUCAAUAGGGACGAAGCGCAAGUGACGGUACCUAUAGAAGAAGCACCGGCCAACUACGUG